GGUACGAGUACGUGUGUCAAUUUAAUAAAUUGUACUGUCAUUAAAGCGAUUCUUUUUGAUUAAAGUAAAUCAUGUUCACAGUUUCUAUCGUUCAGUGAAAUUAUCAAAGAACUCAAUAAGUUAAAUAUUAUUGUGAUUUAGUUAACUAAAGUUUUAUUCUAAAAUAAAAUGGCUGAGACAAAUCCACAAGCCGGCGAUACGGGCCCACCGAAGGGCAUUCCUGCUUUAAAAGCACACGUCAUAGCGAACAAAGUUGAUGUAGCGCUUUGGGGAAUUCGCCUGCUCACAGUUCUUUUCACUAUUGGUUAUGUCAUACCUAUCUUUAACAACCCCGUGUCAGCAUUCUUUAAAGCCCUGCUAGCAAACGCCGCGACGUCCGCGCUGCGGCUGCACCAGCGCAUCCCGGCGCGGGAGAUCGCUCUGUCGCGGGAGUUCAUCAACCGUUUCUUCCUAGAGGACAGCGCACACUAUCUCUUCUACUCGCUCAUAUUCAUGAAUGUGGCUCCUAAUUUAUUAAUUUUGACGCCAAUCUUUUUAUUCGCUUUACUGCACGCCGCGUCGUACUCACUCACAAUCCUUGACACGCUGGGACAGAACUCGAUGUGGGUGGCGCGGCUGCUCAUCUCGCUGGUGGAGUUCCAGUCGCGGAACAUCCUGCGCGUGGCCGCGCUCGCCGAGAUCGUGCUGUUCCCGCUCGUCGUCAUCAUGGCUUUCGUCGGGUACUGCGGCCUCAUGACCCCGUUCGUGUACUACUACUUCGUGACGUGGCGCUACGCGUCCCGACGCAACCCCUACACGCGCAACACCUUCCGCGAGCUGCGCGUGCUCGCCGAGCGCACCGCCGAGCGCCCCGCCCUCCCCGCGCCGCUGCGCUCCGCCCUCGGCGCCGCCGUGCAGCUCGUGUGCCGCAUGGCGCCGCCCGUCGAGACGGUGCAGCAGUGAGUGCGUCUCUCUCUAACACUACACACUCGGCGCGCCGUGCAGCUCGUGUGCCGCAUGGCGCCGCCCGUCGAGACGGUGCAGCAAUAACGCACGGAUCGACACUCGCGAGUGAUACCAUCGUCGACUACAUCACUAAGUCCAGUUGCAUAUGAGGGUCUUUUAAGAUUGCAAAAUAACUUUUUAAGUUUUCGCUUUCCACAGAUUUACUGCGAAUAUUUUUUACUAUAGUUAUUAAUAAAAAAGCUGUUUAAGGCCGUGGAUAUGACAUGCAAUAACAUUAAAUGGUACAAUGAAUGUCUACGCAAAAAAAAAGUAUAUUAUAAGUACACAAUGUAUUUUUGCAUUUUCAAACGUCUUGGUUGUUAAUAAGUAUUGUAAACGGGAUAACGUGUGGUAUAUUAUUAUGUUAAGUUAAUAUUAUUUAAUACGGAGAAGUGAACAAUUUUGGUCCAAUUUAAGUUAGAGAUUAGAAAAAAUAUAAUGUAUUGAAAUGUAUAGCGACAAACAUAUUUUAUAAAAUAUUUGUCUACUUCCAUUUAUUUGGUCAUAUAAAUUUUCUUCACUUGUAACAAGUCCGAUAUGAUUGAAAAGCUCGGUGAUCAUUCCAUUUAUAAUUUGGGAAUAUUGUAAAUUCCUUGAUUUAAGAAAUGACAAGAUUUUUACAAUCUUUCAUAUUGUUGCCGUUUCAUUAUUGUAUUAUAUAUCAAUUGCACAUGGUUUGGGAUGGAUGUAGCCUGGAUUUUUAAAUAAAAUGUUAGUAAGAACA